UCGGGAAUUUUGGGCAAUGGGCGAAAGCCUGACCCAGCAACGCCGCGUGAAGGAUGAAGUAUUUCGGUAUGUAAACUUCGAAAGAAUGGGAAGAAUAAAUGACGGUACCAUUUAUAAGGUCCGGCUAACUACGUGCCAGCAGCCGCGGUAAUACGUAGGGACCAAGCGUUGUUCGGAUUUACUGGGCGUAAAGGGCGCGUAGGCGGCUUAACAAGUCACUUGUGAAAUCUCCGGGCUUAACUCGGAACGGCCAAGUGAAACUGUUAAGCUAGAGUGCAGAAGGGGCAAUCGGAAUUCUUGGUGUAGCGGUGAAAUGCGUAGAUAUCAAGAGGAACACCUGUGGCGAAGGCGGCCACCUGGUUGGAUACUGACGCUGAGACGCGAAAGCGUGGGGAGCAAACAGGAUUAGAUACCCCAGUAGUCCCUGAGCGGGCUGGCAAGGCGCAU
rnacentral:rRNA from 1 species